rnacentral:rRNA from 1 species
GAUGAACGCUGGCGGCGUGCCUAAUACAUGCAAGUCGAGCGAACAGACGAGGAGCUUGCUCCUCUGACGUUAGCGGCGGACGGGUGAGUAACACGUGGAUAACCUACCUAUAAGACUGGGAUAACUUCGGGAAACCGGAGCUAAUACCGGAUAAUAUAUUGAACCGCAUGGUUCAAUAGUGAAAGACGGUUUUGCUGUCACUUAUAGAUGGAUCCGCGCCGCAUUAGCUAGUUGGUAAGGUAACGGCUUACCAAGGCAACGAUGCGUAGCCGACCUGAGAGGGUGAUCGGCCACACUGGAACUGAGACACGGUCCAGACUCCUACGGGAGGCAGCAGUAGGGAAUCUUCCGCAAUGGGCGAAAGCCUGACGGAGCAACGCCGCGUGAAUGACGAAGGUCUUCGGAUCGUAAAACUCUGUUAUUAGGGAAGAACAAAUGUGUAAGUAACUAUGCACGUCUUGACGGUACCUAAUCAGAAAGCCACGGCUAACUACGUG